rnacentral:rRNA from 1 species
AUUGAACGCUGGCGGCAUGCCUUACACAUGCAAGUCGAACGGCAGCACGGGUGCUUGCACCUGGUGGCGAGUGGCGAACGGGUGAGUAAUACAUCGGAACAUGUCCUGUAGUGGGGGAUAGCCCGGCGAAAGCCGGAUUAAUACCGCAUACGAUCUACGGAUGAAAGCGGGGGACCUUCGGGCCUCGCGCUAUCGGGUUGGCCGAUGGCUGAUUAGCUAGUUGGUGGGGUAAAGGCCUACCAAGGCGACGAUCAGUAGCUGGUCUGAGAGGACGACCAGCCACACUGGGACUGAGACACGGCCCAGACUCCUACGGGAGGCAGCAGUGGGGAAUUUUGGACAAUGGGCGAAAGCCUGAUCCAGCAAUGCCGCGGGUGUGAAGAAGGCCUUCGGGUUGUAAAGCACUUUUGUCCGGAAAGAAAUCCUUGGCCCUAAUACGGUCGGGGGAUGACGGUACCGGAAGAAUAAGCACCGGCUAACUACGG